GAAUUGCAUCGCUGGUUAGAGCGCACGCCUGAUAAGCGUGAGGUCGGUGGUUCAAGUCCACCUAGACCCACCA
rnacentral:tRNA from 1 species